rnacentral:rRNA from 1 species
GACGAACGCUGGCGGCGUGCCUAACACAUGCAAGUCGAACGGGGGCUUAGGUUGGCACUGAGUUAUUCUUAGUGAGGAUAACUGAGUGCCAACUUAAGACCUAGUGGCGGAUGGGUGAGUAACGCGUGAGCAACCUACCCUUAGGAGGGGGAUAACACACCGAAAGGUGUGCUAAUACCGCAUAAUAUAUGGUAGCCGCAUGGUUAUCAUAUCAAAGAUUUAUCGCCUAAGGAUGGACUCGCGUCUGAUUAGCUAGUUGGUGAGGUAAAGGCUCACCAAGGCGACGAUCAGUAGCCGAAACUGAGAGGUUGAUCGGCCACAUUGGGACUGAGACACGGCCCAGACUCCUACGGGAGGCAGCAGUGGGGAUAUUGCGCAAUGGGGGAAACCCUGACGCAGCGACGCCGCGUGAAGGAAGAAGGUCUUCGGAUCGUAAACUUUUGUCAUUGGGGAAAAGAAAUGACGGUACCCAAGGAGGAAGCCACGGCUAACUACGUGCCAGCCCG